rfam:Vitis vinifera, whole genome shotgun sequence of line PN40024, unoriented chromosome 14, chr14
AUCGCAGAUAAAUUUUUUUUUGUGUUUAUUUGAUUCAUGGGAGGCAUACAUCAAUAAUGGGAGUUUGCUGAUGGCACCUUUGUAGUCAAGAGGGUGCUCUAAUAGUACCUCACUGUACAUUU